CCUACGGGUGGCAGCAGUGGGGAAUAUUGCACAAUGGGGGAAACCCUGAUGCAGCGACGCCGCGUGAAUGAAGAAGUAAUUCGUUACGUAAAGCUCUAUCAGCAGGGAGGAAAAUGACGGUACCUGAGUAAGAAGCCCCGGCUAACUACGUGCCAGCAGCCGCGGGAUUACGUAGGGGGCAAGCGUUAUCCGGAAUUACUGGGGGUAAAGGGAGCGUAGACGGUAAUGCAAGUCUGGAGUGAAAGGCGGGGGCCCACCCCCCUGACUGCUCUGGAAACUGUCUAACUGGAGUGCAGGAGAGGGAGGAGGAAUUCCUAGGGUAGCGGUGAAAUG
rnacentral:rRNA from 1 species